ACUCUCUGAGUAAAGAAACUACCUCUUACAUCUCUCCUAUAUCUAUCACCCCUCGAUUUAAAGCUAUGUCCCCUUCUGCUAGCCAUCAGUUUGCUUCAUGUGGAUUGGUGCAUUUUAUCAAUCAUCUAAUGAAGAAAGAUGUCUACCCUCCCUGGACUAUGGUUAACUCUUCCCCAUUCUGCAUCAGCAAUGAAAUAUCUAGUUCAAAAUGUGUCCGUUGGGGUCUAUAAUUCACAAUAACUGGACAGAUCUGAGGAGAUUGAAUUCUCAAUUUACUCUCUCUCAAAACAUUUCCUGUCUUUCAGAUCUUUUCUGAGGAGUUCCAUACAUUUAGAAUUGACUCUCAGGAGCCUCUGGGGUUGAAGACUCUGAUUUCAUUUUCCUUUUGACUUAAGACUGAUCAACUGUAUGCAAGGAAUCUUAGCUGCAGAGAGUAUCGAUGUGAUGUUGAGAAAUGCAGCAUAUACCUGAAGGAUGAAUAAAGCAAAUAAUGAUUAAAAGUGACUAUAGCAGAUGGAAACUGCAUUUGGUUUGAGAAAAUUGCGAUUGUUCCUAGCAGACCACUAGGAGGCAGCAUUGUCCUGGGUCUGAGUUUUGAUACCAAGCAGUGCUUUUUAGUUUGUCUAAGACUUUUCUAGAGGAAUCCUUCUCAUAAAUGAGAACAGCUGACCUAGAGAAUGUAUGAACAGCUUGUAAAUGACUGCAGACAAAUUCUUUGUGCAUCUAUUGGGGAUUCCUCCGUCUUUGUUUUAAGAUCUAUAUAAUUCUGUGUAAUUAACUCAUUUUCUUUAACUAGGGCAAUGUCACCAUUAAAUGAUGCCGAGGAAUGUUCUACAAGCUGUUAAUUGCCAACGAUAAUCUUUGAGAUGUGGAGCAGCAAGAGUAAUUGUUGUAAGGGAACAAACACAUCAGUGUCUGAAGAACUAUAAAGAAAACACUUUGUUGUACUUUGCAACUUGCUUUCAUGCUGAGAGGGAAAAAAAUCAAUGCUUUUAAAAAAAAAUUCUUUCAUGAGAUGCGGGCAUCAUUGGUUGGGACAGUAUGUAGUUGCCCUUGAGAAGGUGGUGGUGAGCUGUGUUUUUUGAUCCUCUUCAGUCUGUAUGGUCUAGGUAUACAGCCAGUGCUGUUGUUAAGAGAUUACCUUGGGAUGUUUUGACAUGAACAUGGUGGGACGUUCAUAUAAGCCUUAUUGGAGAUUUGCAGAAAUGGAAAAAUAACAAUGCUGGCUGGCAUUCUAGUAUCUUGCUGCCGUUCCCA